CCUACGGGAGGCAGCAGUGAGGAAUAUUGGUCAAUGGACGAGAGUCUGAACCAGCCAAGUAGCGUGAAGGAUGACUGCCCUAUGGGUUGUAAACUUCUUUUAUAUGGGAAUAAAAUGUUCCACGUGUGGGAUUUUGUAUGUACCAUAUGAAUAAGGAUCGGCUAACUCCUUGCCAGCAGCCGCGUUAAUACGGAGGAUCCGAGCGUUAUCCGGAUUUAUUGGGUUUAAAGGGAGCGUAGGUGGAUUGUUAAGUCAGUUGUGAAAGUUUGCGGCUCAACCGUAAAAUUGCAGUUGAGACUGGCAGUCGUGAGUACAGUAGAGGUGGGCGGAAUUCGUGGUGUAGCGGUGAAAUGCUUAGAUAUCACGAAGAACUCCGAUUGCGAAGGCAGCUCACUGGACUGCAACUGACACUGAGGCUCGAAAGUGUGGGUAUCAAACAGGAUUAGAUACCCUAGUAGUC
rnacentral:rRNA from 1 species